rnacentral:lncRNA from 1 species
UGCUGAAACGAUUGGAUCUGCUUCAAUCGUGCAAUUCUUGUUGCAAGAUUUAAUGGAAUCAUUGUAAAGGUGCUGGUCGGUCCUCAGCUUAGAAUGUGAGAACAAACAUCAGGACCUCUACUACUGUAUCAAGGAUGAAUUAAAUGAAUUAGCAUGGAGUAAUUGAUGGAUUGAUUUUGUGUGUUUAUGACUUAUAAAACAUACAACACACAUACCAUCACAGAACAUAUAUUGCAGUCAAUAUCGAGUGAUUGACACAGAUAGUUCUGUCAGAAAAGUGACCAAAAUAAAACUCAAAUCUGCCCUUUUCUACGUGAAGUGACAAGCGUAGUUAGCUCACACAUUGUAAUAAAAAUAGGAUUUCUCGUUA